CACGCACAGUCAGUUAUUUCAUCCAGAAAAUCUGAAGGCCCUACAAACUAACCAGGACUGGAAACAAGUAGCUGAAAUCAAGAGAAGAAACAAACGAGAGCCAAUGGGCUCUCCCUUGGUACACCUGCUCUCUAAGCAAGCUGAUCAGGAAACUGCUGUCUCAUUUUUCUCAGAUUCACUGGAAUGAAUUUUGAGAAAAUGUUUCAACUGCCAUUUCUGAAACUGGGUGUCUCCUAAUCAGAAUCCCUUUUGUCAGAGAUAUCUGGACCACACCCUACAGAUCUUGAUUCAAUUACUCUCAGGCAGGAAAGAAGAAAAAGAAAAAGAUGAACUUAUUCGGAAUUCUGUGUACUUUGCCCUUUAGAACUAGAUGGUGUUACUGAAAGUAAUAGGGAUCCCAGCACAUUACAAUAUAUAAAUAUCAGAACCUGAAUAUAAAUGUGCAGUGCAUCUUUGGCCUUUGGGAUAUUAAAAUGCUUGAUGAGCCAUGGACACACAUUAAUUAAAAAAAAAAUAGGUGGCCUCCCUAAGUUAUGUUAUGAAGCCACCAAGAAAGAACAAUGUCUUAUUUGAUGUUCUCUAUAGCACUUAGUGUAUGUUGAAGUUCAACAGCCAUCCAAUAAAAAAUGUUCAUUUACAAUCAUGAAUUAAAUUAUGCUGAAAGCUAAUACUUCAGAGAUAGGUAAUAAAAGGGAAGUAGACAUAACUUUGAUACCACACAAUAUUCUAUAUAGAAACAUUCAUAAA